rnacentral:lncRNA from 1 species
GAACACAGCUUUAGAGAUGUCAACAGCCUCCUAUGAGUCUAGAGUCAGGUGGUACAGGCUCAACUGGUCUAACAGCUGCAAAUUUUGAGAGAGUGCUGUGCUAAUGUUUGGGGCUCAGAUUUAAGGUAGAGGUAUGAUUUACGUACUUUGAGCAGCCAAGCCUUCUUCAGAAGAAACCUGAGCGGCAUGUGCUCCUCCCCACCUGCUUCCCCGCAACAGGAAGAACUCUGCAGAAGGUCUCCUCACCUUGUUGAGGCCUGGGAAUGUGCAAAUGUGCAGGUGACCUCAGGGAUAAAGGAUGAUACAGUUACAUUCCAUGAACUCUGCAAGUCAGCAUGAGGCACAACCUGGCCUGCAACGCCAUAAGACAGGAGGCACCUAAAGAACUCUUGGCAACUUCUCCAUGCUACCCGAGAGGCACGUGAGCCUCUCUUUGCAGUUUCUCCUUAGUGGCUGGUGACAGUAACUGGUGUUUAGAUGAAGGUGACCGUCGCUGGACUGGCAUGUGGUACCUGACAUUCUUCCAGAACCUUGUCUUUGCAGACUGUGGUCCCUGUGUAAAGUCCCCUGACCAGCGGAUAGCCCCAUGUUUCUGCUUAAUGAAUUUAAUCGAUUCUGGCAUUUUCUCAUAGUCUUGGAUUUUCUCCAGCUCAAGCAGGACAACUUUAAUUCCAUCCUGAACAAGAGCAUUAUACAUGGCUAUUUGCUCUUCAGAUGAACCACCCAGCCAGCUGAAGCCUGAUGUUUCUCUGACUAAAAUGAUAAUCAGUCUUCUGCUUUUCUUUACGUUUUCAUUAAUGACCUCAACAAUGUCUGAAAAACAGGAAGCACAAUAUAGUAAGUAAAAUUCUAUUUAUCAUCAUUCUCUCCUGAACCAAAGCCACACAAGGCUUUUCACAACCGUAUGGCUCCUAACGCCUUUUUCUUGCCUUACUUAAAAUUAAAGGAGUUUCCCAUGUUUUUAAUUAAUUAAUUUUAAGAGACAGGCUCUUGUUCUGUUGCUCACACUGGAGCGCAGUGGCGUGAUCUUGGAUCACUGCAGCCUCAAACUCCUAGGCUCAAGC